rnacentral:rRNA from 1 species
GAUAAACGCUGGCGGCGCACAUAAGACAUGCAAGUUGAACGGACUUAAUCGAAAUAUUUAUAUUUUGAAGCGGUUAGUGGCGGACUGGUGAGUAACGCGUAAGGAACCUGCCUAUUAGAGGGGAAUAACAGUGAGAAAUCAUUGCUAAUACCGCAUAUGCCAUAGAUAUCACAUGAUAACAGUGGGAAAGGAGCAAUCCGCUAAUAGAUGGCCUUGCGUCUGAUUAGAUAGUUGGUGGGGUAACGGCCUACCAAGUCGACGAUCAGUAGCCGGACUGAGAGGUUGAACGGCCACAUUGGGACUGAGAUACGGCCCAGACUCCUACGGGAGGCAGCAGUCGGGAACAUUGCGCAAUGGAGGAAACUCUGACGCAGUGACGCCGCGUAUAGGAAGAAGGUUUUCGGAUUGUAAACUAUUGUCGUUAGGGAAGAGAAAGGACAGUACCUAAGGAGGAAGCUCCGGCUAACUACGUG